rnacentral:rRNA from 1 species
GUUUUAUAUAUAUAUAUAUAUAUAUAUAUAUAUAUAUAUAUAUAUAUUUUAAUUGGGGUAGCCCCCAAAAUAUUGGGACAUAUAAAAAAAGUCAACUCUGUUCCGCAGAGUAGCUGUUGGCAUUAUAGUUGCGCAAGCACUUUGUUGACUCUAGAGAACCUCGGGCCAAUCGCACAUCCCCAUGGUGGCUACUUUGCAUGCGGAUGUCAUCCAUAUCAACUUUAGAUGCCAGUUUCUGCGCCUUCCAUGGUGAUCACGGGUAACGGGGAAUCAGGGUUCCAUUCCGUAAAGGCUACCACAUGCAAGGAAGGCAGCAGGCGUGCAAAUGACCCACUCCCGAUGCGGGAAGGUAAUGACGACAAAUAACAAUACAGGACUCUUUAGAGGCCCUGUAAUUGUAAUGAGUCCACUUGAAAUCCUUUAACUCUGAUCAAUUGGAGGGAAGUCUGGUGCAGAGCCCAGACCUGU